rnacentral:rRNA from 1 species
UACGGAGGGUGCGAGCGUUGUCCGGAAUCACUGGGCGUAAAGGGCGCGUAGGCGGCGCGGAAAGUCGUCGGUGAAAGCUCGGGGCUCAACCCUGAGUCUGCCGGUGAUACUCCCGCGCUCGAGCUCACUAGAGGCAGAUGGAAUUCCGGGUGUAGCGGUGGAAUGCGUAGAGAUCCGGAAGAACACCAGUGGCGAAGGCGGCUCGACUGGCCCGAGUACUGACGCUGAGGCACGAAAGCGUGGGGAGCAAAGCAGGG